CCUACGGGAGGCAGCAGUGGGGAAUAUUGGACAAUGGGGGGAACCCUGAUCCAGCGACGCCGCGUGAGUGAAGAAGUAUUUCGGUAUGUAAAGCUCUAUCAGCAGGGAAGAAAGAAAUGACGGUACCUGACUAAGAAGCCCCGGCUAACUACGUGCGCGCAGCCGCGGUAAUACGUAGGGGGCAAGCGUUAUCCGGAUUUACUGGGUGUAAAGGGGGCGUAGACGGCGAUGCAAGUCUGAAGUGAAAGGCGGGGGCCCAACCCCUGGGCUGCUUUGGAACCUGUAUGGCUGGAGUGCAGGAGAGGUAAGUGGAAUUCCUAGUGUAGCGGUGAAAUGCGUAGAUAUUAGGAGGAACACCAGUGGCGAAGGCGGCUUACUGGACUGUAACUGACGUUGAGGCUCGAAAGCGUGGGGAGCAAACAGGAUUAGAUACCCCAGUAGUC
rnacentral:rRNA from 1 species